AUGUGUGUCUCAAAGGAAAAGGGUGGAAUGGGUUUUAGAGUCUUGCAUUGUUUUAAUUUGGCUCUUCUCGCAAAGCAGUGUUGGAGGUUGUUAUGUGAACCAAAUUCUUUAUGUGCUAGAGUUUUGAGAGCAAAAUAUUUUCCUGAUGGAGACCUUCUUAACUGCGGCCUUAAGAAGGGUAGUUCUUAUACAUGGCAGAGUCUAUGGAGUGGAAUUCAGUCUUUUAAGCGAGGGCAUAUUUGGAGAGUUGGAGAUGGGGCACAAAUUAACAUCUGGGAAGACCCUUGGAUACCAAGUAGUCCUACUCAAAAGUUAAUGACGCCAAGAGGUAACAUUGUGAUCACAAAAGUUUAUGAACUCAUUGAUACAGAAAAUAGAGUGUGGGAUGAACAGUUGAUAUCGGAGUUGUUUUGGCCUAUUGAUGUGCAACGCAUAUUAAAUAUCCCACUGGCUUUGGGGAUGAUGGAUGAUUUUGUGUCAUGGCACCAUAAUAGAAGUGGAAUAUUUUCGGUUAGAUCGGCAUACCAUGAAGAGUGGGAGCAUCAACACGGAUGAAAGUUGAGGAUGACUAACUCAAUACAAGCCUCAAGUACUAGUCCAGUUUGGCGUACCAUUUGGAAAUUGCGUGUGCCAGCAAAAAUAAAAAUUCAUGUAUGGAAAACUUUGCUUGGCGCCAUCCCUUGUAAUGGAGUCCUUGCUAACAGGCAUAUGAUCACAAGCUCUCAAUGUCCUCUCCGCACUUUGGAUUGUGAGAGUGUUAGACAUGCCAUGUUCUUGUGCCCUAGAGUUCAAGAAAUCUGGAGGAUAUUGGAACUGCAAGAUGUGGUU
rnacentral:rRNA from 1 species